rnacentral:lncRNA from 1 species
CUCCUAUCCACCAACUGCCCUUGGGUAAUAGGACCCACUCUUGGGUGUGGCAAGGACAGGCGGGAUGUCCACCACAUCCAUGCCUCUUCCCGACACAGGAUACUACUGCACCCCAAACCCCCUUGCAGCUGGGCUGGGACCUGUGACUGCGUUUUGACCCAAAUGUUCCUGAACUGUUCUCAAGACUUUGAUGCUCUUUGGCUGGCAGGCACCUAAGGAGGAGGCCAGAAGAAAUGACAGCACCACGAGAUGGAAGAUCCUGGCAGAUCCUGGCUUGCACCUGAAUUGUACCCCUUGGUCUGGCCUUGCCAGCAUAGGCAGGACCCCUGCCGAAUCCAGUCCGAGCUGUAGGAGGCUGGUACUGUGUAGAGCAUCUGCAGGCCCCCAGGCCUGUCCCCAGCUUCGCCGCUGCCCCCUCCACACAGACCCCAGCGGCAGAGCCUUGCUGUGUGGAGUGUCGCACGUGCCACUGCAUGGACGCCCUUUGAGAGUCUGCAGGGAAUGCUGGCGGGAGUCAUCGUAUGGUGAGCCGUGGUCCACGUCCAGAUCCAUCUCAACUUGUAAAAUGGAUUUUUUAAAGGUGUUAAACCUUCCUUCACCUCAAACACAGUCUUUCUGAUGGGCCUGCAAUGUUGAUAAGUUCUUGCGGGCAGACGCCAAGGAGAGGAAGGCCUGGGCGGUGCAGCUGUGGGAAGCAGGCCGCUCUUCCUGUAGCCUUGCCACACCACGACCUGCCCAUGAGCAGGGAGAGUCCAGACCACGUCCUUCCCCUCCUCCCUCCCCUCCUGGGCAUCGCACCAGAUAGACAAGGGUGGAUGUGGACCGACACAAGCUGCCUAAAGCCAGAGGCCGGCACCCAACUGGCUCCCGAUGGUCCUCAGUUAUUCAUUGCUUGGUUGAAAGUGAGGUUAAGAAACCAGUUCCCUGUAGAUUCCACGAGUGAUUGCAGCAGGGAGUGGACCUCGGCCAACGUGGAACCACCACCGCAGUCCCAAGACGCGUGUGUUUCGGUGAACUUCGUCAUAAGAUUACAUCAUCUUCAUAUUUUUGUUUGCAACGAGGAACGCACAGGAUGUAAUAUGAUGGGUGUCAGUCAGAUACCAGAAAAGGAAGAGGCAGUACUGUCAAGAUUUUUCAACAGUUAG